rnacentral:misc_RNA from 1 species
GAUGAAGAACGUAGCGAAAUGCGAUAAGUAAUGUGAAUUGCAGAAUUCAGUGAAUCAUCGAAUGUUUGAACGCACAUUGCGCCCGCCAGUAUUCUGGCGGGCAUGCCUGUUCGAGCGUCAUUUCAACCAUCAAGCCCCCCGGCUUGUGUUGGGGACCUGCGGCUGCCGCAGGCCCUGAAAAGCAGUGGCGGGCUCGCUGUCACACCGAGCGUAGUAGAUCUCAUCUCGCUCAGGGCGUGCUGCGGGUUCCGGCCGUUAAACCACCUUCAUAACCCAAGGUUGACCUCGGAUCAGGUAGGAAGACCCGCUGAACUUAAGCAUAUCAAUAAGCGGAGGA